CCCUGCUCAGCUUCCUGAGCUGAAAUCAGCUCCUUAAGGAAGCUCACCUGAGUCCUGCUUAGCUGCAUUCGGGGUCUGGAGACCCUUUUCCCAGGCUUUUUUUCUCAUCUGAGGCUGGAGUCUCCCCACUCCUCCUUGGAGAUGGGGAACCAAAGGAAAAGCCCCAAAUCCCACAAGAAUGAGGAGAGCAGCACUGAGAGCAGUGUCAGGGAGCUCCUGUCCUCACCUGUCCGUGGAGACACCUGGGCUGCAGGCAGGCAUCUCUGCUCCCUCCUUCCCCAAAAGAUGAUCCUGGAUCAAAGUCCCAGCUGGCUGUGACUCCACAGGGAUGAGAUCUCUGCUCCUAAAGAGAUUCCCCAUGACCCUGUGAGCAAGCCAUGCUUCCCCAUCUCUGCUCUGACACGGAGCAGAUGAUCCAAGCUGCUGAGUUUUGCUCCAAACAAACAUGAUGCAUAGAAAUAAUAAAGGCUGGAAGGGUUUUUAAUUCCAAGCUGUGUUUCUGGAUUAGUUCCCCAUCAUUAGGCAGUCAGGGAGUAGAGUUACUGCUGUUUUGCCUCCCUCUCAAAAUCAGGAAAGGAUAAAAAAACCCAGAGUCAUUGAGACCUGGGGGCGGGCAGGAGAGCAGAGAACAGGCAGGAGAGACAGGAUUUUUUUUAGGGAUGAUGUUGGACCACGUCUUGGGUGCAUGAUUGCUGGUGGGAAGCUCUGGAGACAGCAGGGACUCUGCCUACGACCAUGGUGAGGGAAUUUUCCAACAAUUCCAGCUUACCAGAGGUGUUCAAUGACAGCUUUCUCCAGGCUCCAUGUGGCCUUUGAUUUCUCCCAUCUUGCGCUGGGAUUUCCCUUCACACCGAGGAAGGCCCCAGGGAGCUCUGGUCCAUCCAUGGGCAGCAUUCCAAGCACAGGGAGCUGCUGAGCACCUCUGGGGAAGGAGGACAACAACCCCCACAUGGCCCAUCCCCAGCAAAUGCCAAAAUGUCAAACACAACCAUUUUCCAAGACUUUUAUCCAGAAAACUUAGCUGGGAACGGAGAACGUCCCUUCCCGUGCCCUUCAGUUCCCUGCCCUGAUGCAGAUCUCAUCUGGGUUUUGCACAUGAAAGGAAGAAGAAAGGAAGGAGAAGAGCCUCGGACUGAUUUGCUGACUGAGUAUUUAUUAAAAUAGACUGGAACAAUUAAAGACAAAAGCUCCCCGAAGUUGGGAUGCAAAUUGAGGAGUUGGAAAACACAAAAGGAGAGGAUCUGGUGGCAACUUGAAUUCUGUACAAACACAGAUUUUUCACAGAAUCACAGAACUCAAUUCCAAGCUAAUGCCAAACUGAAAUUUUUGGGAAAGCACAAACUCAAAGAAGAAUUUCUUCUGGCUAAAGUGAAAAUUAGUUUGACAAACCACAAACAUUUCAAUUGAAAACUGGGACAUCCUCUUUUCUCUCUCUCCUUUUUUAAUUAACCUCAAACUCUCAAAAGCACAAUGAUGGGAACCCAAGGAAUGUGACAUUGCCCAAGUGUCUCUAAUAAAUGCACAAGUUGCAAAACA
rnacentral:lncRNA from 1 species